rnacentral:rRNA from 1 species
GACGAACGCUGGCGGCGUGCUUAACACAUGCAAGUCGAACGGUAAGGCCCUUCGGGGUACACGAGUGGCGAACGGGUGAGUAACACGUGGGUGAUCUGCCCUGCACUUCGGGAUAAGCCUGGGAAACUGGGUCUAAUACCGGAUAGGACUCCUGGCUUCAUGGUUGGGGGUGGAAAGCUUUUGCGGUGUGGGAUGGGCCCGCGGCCUAUCAGCUUGUUGGUGGGGUAAUGGCCUACCAAGGCGACGACGGGUAGCCGGCCUGAGAGGGUGACCGGCCACACUGGGACUGAGAUACGGCCCAGACUCCUACGGGAGGCAGCAGUGGGGAAUAUUGCACAAUGGGCGCAAGCCUGAUGCAGCAACGCCGCGUGAGGGAUGACGGCCUUCGGGUUGUAAACCUCUUUCAGCAUCGACGAAGCGAAAGUGACGGUAGGUGCAGAAGAAGGACCGGCCAACUACGUGCCAGCCGCCGCAGUAA